rnacentral:rRNA from 1 species
GGACGGGUGAGUAACGCGUGAGAAUCUGGCUUCAGGUCGGGGAUAACUACUGGAAACGGUGGCUAAUACCGGAUGUGCCGAGAGGUGAAAGGCUAGCUGCCUGAAGAUGAGCUCGCGUCUGAUUAGCUAGUUGGUGUGGUAAGAGCGCACCAAGGCGACGAUCAGUAGCUGGUCUGAGAGGAUGAUCAGCCACACUGGGACUGAGACACGGCCCAGACUCCUACGGGAGGCAGCAGUGGGGAAUUUUCCGCAAUGGGCGAAAGCCUGACGGAGCAAUACCGCGUGAGGGAGGAAGGCUCUUGGGUUGUAAACCUCUUUUCUCAAGGAAUAAGUUCUGAAGGUACUUGAGGAAUAAGCAUCGGCUAACUCCGUGCCAGCAGCCGCGGUAAUACGGAGGAUGCAAGCGUUAUCCGGAAUGAUUGGGCGUAAAGCGUCCGCAGGUGGCAGUGUAAGUCUGCUGUUAAAGAGUCUAGCUUAACUAGAUAAAAGCAGUGGAAACUACACAGCUAGAGUACGUUCGGGGUAGAGGGAAUUCCUGGUGUAGCGGUGAAAUGCGUAGAGAUCAGGAAGAACACCGGUGGCGAAGGCGCUCUACUAGGCCGUAACUGACACUGAGGGACGAAAGCUAGGGGAGCGAAUGGGAUUAGAUACCCCAGUAGUCCUAGC